rnacentral:rRNA from 1 species
AUACGGAGGGUGCAAGCGUUACUCGGAAUCACUGGGCGUAAAGCGCGCGCAGGCGGCUAUUUAAGUUGGAUGUGAAAGCCUAUGGCUCAACCAUAGAACUGCAUCCAAAACUAUUUAGCUAGAGUGUGGGAGAGGAAGAUGGAAUUAGUUGUGUAGGGGUAAAACCCGUAGAGAUAACUAGGAAUACCAAAAGCGAAGGCAAUCUUCUGGAACACUACUGACGCUGAGGCGCGAAAGCGUGGGGAGCAAACAGGAUUAGAAACCCUAGUAGUCC